rnacentral:lncRNA from 1 species
GGGAAUAUUCGUACGACGGCGCAGCCAUGUGUGGGCCCCAUAACGGAAAGCGAUUGGAGGAAGAAAACGACAAAUAUAAGUUGUUUAAAAAUAACGACGUAGUUGUUACCGUUUACACUGUUGGAAUACCCGGUGGUUAAAACACAGUAAUACGCGUUGUUGCACAGUAGCACACGGUAUUGCACCAAUUAUUGACUCUUACGUAAGAAGGCACUACUCAAUAAUGGUUACAGUAAUUACUGUUCAGUAUUUUAUUUUAUUGAUUCAAUAAUUGCUGCGUUGAUAUUUUAUAUUGCUGUUGUUUCAAUAAUUGUCAUUACACAGUAUUUUUCAUUAUCGAAGCAAUAAUUCAUAUUAUCUGAAUAAUAUUAUUAGAUAACAUUAUUG